AGCCACAACCAUAUCAACCUGCAGCCCAAGAAUGGUUACUCACUGAAGCUAAGCAGGGCUGGGCCUGGUCAGUACAUGGAUGGGAGACCACAUGGGAAAUCCAGAUUGCUGUUGGAA
ensembl:rRNA 5S_rRNA 5S ribosomal RNA